AAAAACAUGUCCUUUUGAUUUAAAUUUAAGGUCUGACCUGCUCAAUGAAUUUUAAAUAGCCGCAGUAUCUUAACUGUGCAAAGGUAGCAUAAUCAUUAGUUUCUUAAUUAGAAGCUGGAAUGAAAGGUUGAAUGAGAAAAUAACUGUCUCUGUGAAAAUUUUAUAGAAUUUUAUUUUUAAGUUAAAAAGCUUAAAUAUAAAUAAAAGACGAGAAGACCCUAUAGAGUUUUAUAUUUGUAUAAAAUAUUUCUUUUAGAAUUUAAAAAUCUAUUUUUAUCAAAUAUUUGAUUGGGGUGAUCAGAAAAUUUAAUAAACUUUUCUUUAAUAUGAACAUUUAUUUAUGAAAAUAUGAUCCAUUAGUUAAGAUUAUAAGAUAAAAUUACCUUAGGGAUAACAGCGUAAUUUUUUUUGAGAGUUCUUAUCGAAAGAAGAGAUUGCGACCUCGAUGUUGGAUUAAAAUGAAUUUUUGGUGUAGAAGCUGAAUUGAUUAGGUCUGUUCGACCUUUAAAAUUUUACUUGAUCUGAGUU
rnacentral:rRNA from 1 species